rnacentral:rRNA from 1 species
UGAGGGAAUAUUGGACAAUGGAGGCAACUCUGAUCCAGCCAUGCCGCGUGAAGGACUAAGGCCCUAUGGGCUGUAAACUUCUUUAGACGCAGAGCAAUAAGGGCCACGCGUGGUCCGAUGAGAGUAUGCGUAGAAUAAGCAUCGGCUAACUCCGUGCCAGCAGCCGCGGGUAAUACGGGGGGAUGCGAGCGUUAUCCGGAUUCAUUGGGUUUAAAGGGUGCGUAGGCGGCUUUGCAAGUCAGCGGUGAAAGGCCCGGGCUCAACCCGGAAAGUGCCGUUGAUACUGUGAGGCUGGAAUGCGGAUGCUGUGGGAGAAUGAGUGGUGUAGCGGUGAA